ACGGGAGGCAGCAGUGGGGGAUAUUGCACAAUGGAGGAAACUCUGAUGCAGCAACGCCGCGUGAGGGAAGAAGGUUUUCGGAUUGUAAACCUCUGUUUUUAGUGAAGAAACAAAUGACGGUAGCUAAAGGGGAAGCCACGGCUAACUACGUGCCAGCAGCCGCGGUAAUACGUAGGUGGCAAGCGUUGUCCGGAUUUACUGGGUGUAAAGGGUGCGCAGGCGGGACUGCAAGUUGGAUGUGAAAUACCGAGGCUCAACCUCGGAGCUGCAUCCAAAACUGUAGUUCUUGAGUGAAGUAGAGGCAAGCGGAAUUCCGAGUGUAGCGGUGAAAUGCGUAGAUAUUCGGAGGAACACCAGUGGCGAAGGCGGCUUGCUGGGCUUUAACUGACGCUGAGGCACGAAAGCAUGGGUAGCAAACAGGAUUAGAUACCCUGGUA
rnacentral:rRNA from 1 species